rnacentral:lncRNA from 1 species
GGGAAGAAAUAAUAGGGUUUGGGAGCCCUCAAGUUCAUAUUUGGGGCCUAAGAAAAGGCCAGAGUUGAUGGGCUACUUUUCGGUUACAACCUUGUACUGUUUGUGGGAAACUCCAUCAAGCCGAGUGCUGGGUUCGGAUAAGAGCAUGUUUGAGGUGCGAAUCUAUGGAGCACCGUAUUAGGGAUUGUCCACAGAGGCCUGAU